rnacentral:rRNA from 1 species
GACGAACGCUGGCGGCGUGCCUAAUACAUGCAAGUUGAGCGCUGAAGGUUGGUACUUGUACCGACUGGAUGAGCAGCGAACGGGUGAGUAACGCGUGGGGAAUCUGCCUUUGAGCGGGGGACAACAUUUGGAAACGAAUGCUAAUACCGCAUAAAAACUUUAAACACAAGUUUUAAGUUUGAAAGAUGCAAUUGCAUCACUCAAAGAUGAUCCCGCGUUGUAUUAGCUAGUUGGUGAGGUAAAGGCUCACCCAGGCGAAGAUACAUAGCCGACCUGAGAGGGUGGUCGGCCACAUUGGGACUGGGACACGGCCCAAAACCCUACGGGGGGCAGCAGUAGGGAAACUUCGGAAAUGGGGGAAAGUCUGACCGAGCAACGCCGGGUGAGUGAAGAAGGGUUUCGGAUCGUAAAACUCUGUUGGUAGAGAAGAACGUUGGUGAGGGUGGAAAGCUCAUCAAGUGACGGUAACUACCGAGAAAGGAACGGCUAACUACGUG